rnacentral:snRNA from 1 species
UCCUUGUGGCCCCUCAAGCC